rnacentral:rRNA from 1 species
AACGUAGGUUCCGAGCGUUAUCCGGAUUUAUUGGGCGUAAAGCGCUCGCAGGUGGUUCAUUGCGUCGUGCGUGAAAGACCCCGGCUCAACUGGGGAGGGUCGUGCGAAACGGGUGAACUAGAGGCCAGUAGGGGGAUGUGGAAUUCCGGGUGUAGUGGUGGAAUGCGUAGAGAUCCGGAGGAACACCAGCGGCGAAGGCGGCAUCCUGGACUGGUCCUGACACUCAGGAGCGAAAGCGUGGGGAGCGAUCCGG